GAUGAACGCUGGCGGCGUGCCUAAUACAUGCAAGUCGAGCGAACAGACGAGGAGCUUGCUCCUCUGACGUUAGCGGCGGACGGGUGAGUAACACGUGGAUAACCUACCUAUAAGACUGGGAUAACUUCGGGAAACCGGAGCUAAUACCGGAUAAUAUAUUGAACCGCAUGGUUCAAUAGUGAAAUACGGUUUUGCUGUCACUUAUAGAUGGAUCCGCGCCGCAUUAGCUAGUUGUUAAGGUAACGGCUUACCAAGGCAACGAUGCGUAGCCGACCUGAGAGGGUGAUCGGCCACACGGGAACUGAGACACGGUCAAGACUCCUACGGGAGGCAGCAGUAGGGAAUCUUCCGCAAUGGGCGAAAGCCUGACGGAGCAACGCCGCGUGAGUGAUGAAGGUCUUCGGAUCGUAAAACUCUGUUAUUAGGGAAGAACAAAUGUGUAAGUAACUAUGCACGUCUUGACGGUACCUAAUCAGAAAGCCACGGCUAACUACGUG
rnacentral:rRNA from 1 species